rnacentral:rRNA from 1 species
CCCAUGUCUUUUGAGUACCUUCGUUUCCUCGGCGGGUUCGCCCGCCGAUUGGACAAUUUAAACCAUUUGCAGUUGCAAUCAGCGUCUGAAAAAACAUAAUAGUUACAACUUUCAACAACGGAUCUCUUGGUUCUGGCAUCGAUGAAGAACGCAGCGAAAUGCGAUAAGUAGUGUGAAUUGCAGAAUUCAGUGAAUCAUCGAAUCUUUGAACGCACAUUGCGCCCCUUGGUAUUCCAUGGGGCAUGCCUGUUCGAGCGUCAUUUGUACCUUCAAGCUCUGCUUGGUGUUGGGUGUUUGUCUCGCCUCUGCGCGUAGACUCGCCUCAAAACAAUUGGCAGCCGGCGUAUUGAUUUCGGAGCGCAGUACAUCUCGCGCUUUGCAUUCAGAACGACGACGUCCAAAAGUACA